AAGGAAUGCUGGGUGAGAAUCAUGACCAAAUUCUCUGCUUAUUGAGAUGUAUGCUGCUCCACAAAACAUCAAACUCCUUUGUGAAGAGGACUGCAAAUUUUGUGGAGAGAUAACAGCAGUACUUUCUCCAUCUAUCACACAACCUUCUUCCAAAGAAGUCUUCAGUCUCAGCUAGGCAUGAGGGACUCUUGUCCCACACAGGUGAUGGACUGUCCAGAGGUCUUGCUGGUUAAAACCACAUUUUGAUACGUUACAUACUCAGCUUUUAGCCUAAUGAAAGGAGACUUGUCUUCAUUACAUGAUCAAGACAGAAUUAAUAUGAACUUGCUGCAACAGGAACAGCUUUUGGAGUUACUCUUUCAACUUCCUCCAGAAUGUUUCUGGAGAGUUUGCAAACAUCUAGAAAAGGUAAUGUUUCUGGCACACUCUGGAUUUUAAUGGGAGUGGGCCAAAACUAAGUUUUCAACUCAAAAAUAACGGCUUGGAUCACAGCUCUCAAAAGACCAGUUAUAUCCUUAUUACCUCAGUUCAAAUAAUUUGAACCAACAUUUAAUCAUGUAUCCAGAAGGAAGCUCUUUCAAAUUUCCUAAUCAUCUACAGUAAUGAAAAACAAUCACACCAGCAAUGUUUUGGGCAUACCCAGGUUUCACAUUGUCAUCAAGACACUAGGAAAGAGUCCUUUGUUCCUUCCAACCUGUGAGAUGUAAGAGAAAGGGACAGUAGUUGCAUUUUGCAUUUUCCAAAAUUGCCUUAGUGGCUUUUGGACCUUAAUGCUAUUUUUAGAUGUGACUUGGCUGUACAGUACCCAGAAGUCUUCAAGUGCAGAGCAGUUAUUAAAUCAAUUCAAGGCAGGAAAAGUAAUCUCUCUGAAAAGCAUGACUUCAGGAGCAUACAUCUUACUCUGACUUUGAUUUGAAAGUGCCUAAGUUGCUGUAAGACUUAGCACUCAGGAAAAUUUAUCCUUAAACAAAAGUUCAAAUGUGACAAGACAUUGAAGCAACUCCUCUGUAGAGUAGAAUUAAGGAGACAUAAUGGUGGGAAGAAGGAAGAAUAAGCACCAGUUUGUCAAGCGUAAUAAAAAGCCAAAGCAAACCAGUAUUUGAGGCCAAGACAUCUCUUACCUACAAUUAGUAAAAUCCUUAGAGAAGCAGUAAAACUACCACAUUUUCCAAAAAAAUAACACAUUCAAACCCAAAGAUCUGUUGAAAGAAACCUAUUAUUUAGCCCAACGUUUGAAGCAGACUAUAAGCUCUGCAUUUUAAAAUUCUAAUUUCAUGUCUGUCACUUCCAGGUCGACCCCUCUGACCAUUACAGCAGGGCAUGUCCAACAGCACAUAUUAAAAUCACGGUGCAGUCUGAUACCCAAUUACUCUUUAGGUAUUUGGAAAAAAAACCACCUUCCUGUUUUCAACUGUGUUGUAGCAAAGCCAUAACCUGAACCAUACCAGGGUUUUUUGCUGCUUUCGGCCUCCACAUUGCACAUGUAGCAAAGGACACACAAUAAAUUCUCACAGCCCUUGAUGUCCCAGCUGGGCAUCUCCAUCCUCCCACCCCAUGUAAAGCAGCACACAGAUUCAUGGGGUCUGUAAAUUCAAGCUGUCACUUUGUCUCAUUAUCAGGCCCCACCUAACUGCUCUCACAUCUUCCCUCUCCAUCCACUGUGCAGCUUAGGACCAGGGCAGCUCAGCCAAGGGGAACCAGCUUGGGAGAUUAGGUAAGGCUGACCUGACCUAUUGCUAUAGAUUUCCAGGUGUUGAAGACACUUUAGCUUGUGGGUGUGGAAAAGGUCCAAAUAUUCAGAAAAAAUAUUACUGUACAAUAGGUAGUAUUUCAAAGGAAGACCAGGGAAAUGCUGUAAGGAUAGCUCAGAUCUGUCCCAUGCAGCAUCUGAAAACAUGACUGAGAAGGACAUAAUUCUAAGCUUCCAUGUCUAGACCUGAACCUCAGCCAGUACACUGGCAGUAACCACAAAAGCUUCCUCUUCAGCAGACAUGAAGUAGUUUCCAGCUAAAAACGUUAACAAAUGUGUAACAUGGUAUUCUACUUAUGUGAAUUUUAACCACACCAUCCUGAAGAAGGCUUACAUCUGUGGCUUUCUGAGGAGUACUUAUCACUGCUGAGAAAAACUGCAAAUGGAUAGAUAACAGUCCAAGACCAUCAGCUGCAACACAGGAUGACUGCAACUCACUCAGAUCAGCGUUACUGAAAGCAAAAUGCUACAGUCUCUUAGUGUUUUCAUAAUGCAAACAGGUUUUAUUUAGCAGAUAAAGGUCACAAAAAUUGUGGGUUUUCUGUGUUCUUACUGUGCAUGGAACCACACUUUACCAUAGCUAAAAUAAUUUUACUUUUAUGCUUGAUGGCAUUGAAGAAAGUUAUGUGCUGACAAGGACUUUCUUAAGCAACAAGAAAUCAAUGUAAUCUAUGUCAGAGCUAAGGAUGCUGACCACACUUUUUCCUGUUAAUUAGACAAGCUGCAAAUAAACAAUUUCAUAGGUAGAGCUCAAAAGAUAGGUCUGUCCUAUAGCUUUUAUAAAGAAAAGCCUCAACACAAUUCAAUUGUGAUGCCAAAACUAUUUGCAUUGCAUUUAGUAUGUACAUGAAAGACAAAAAAAAACCCAAACCAAACCAACCAAGCACCAUACUGUGUCAUUUGCUGUAAAUGCUCUGUGGAUGCAGGUAUCCAUACAGGAUAUGUCUGUUUGCAUGGAUUCUCUGUUUUGUCUUUGGAGCUAGAACCCCAUUAAGUGCUAACUAACCAUGACACUAGCAGCUCUCCAGAUGUGGCACAAUGCAGACUGGAAGAAUUAUUUCCCCUGUAUGAUGUGAGCAGGAUGAUGCAGGUAACUUCACUCUAUGUUUCUUGGUGUGUUUUUGUGGUAUUAUCUGACAAUAAUUUUACGUUAAGCAUUUUUACUUCUAAACCUGCAUAAAGCAAAAAAAAAAUUCACAGGAAUUAUGCCUUCUGCUUCAUGUUUUAAAAUAAAUCUUCACCCUCUACUAGUUUUCCCAGCAGAGCUAGUCAGUGUAAAAAAGCCUGAUAUUUUAGGCCGUAAUUGGGGUCUCAUGCAUAUCAAGUUGACUCUGGAGUAAUUCAACUAAAAUCAAAAGAACCAUAUUUGUGCUACUGCUGAAUUUGAAUUAACAGUAAGGAAGACUGCUGAAAACUGCCUGUUGGAAUCUUCCUGCCACAACUGCUAAUUGGAAAGAAAAAGAAACCUAAACAACCAGCUUUAGUUUUCAGAUUAUGAAGGGGUGAAUCAGAAGCAACCCUCCUUCUCUUCCUAAGUCUUUAGUUGAGAGCUACAUACAGCUAAUAUGAAAUCAAAGCCCACAAAAUAUGAAAUCUAAAUGCUCAUUUAUUUUUAGAACAGAGACAAAAGCUUUUAAAAGCAUUAUUGUAAACCAAGAGGCAUCUUCACCCAGAAGCAAGACAAAAGAGCUACCUCUUUGAAGGUAAAAUGCAAAAAAAAAACCCAAAACAUUUUAGAGUAAUAUAUUUGGCUUAGGGCAGCACUGUCUUCAUCAUUAAAUGUCUGUUCAGGUAUUCCCAACACAACCUCCUGGAAUAUGGUGGGAACAAGUAUGUAAAGAUGACACUUGCAAAGAUUUUACAUUUUUCACUGAGAUCGUUAUAUGUACCAUUGAAAACACCAGAGCCACGAGCCUCCUUUCAUUCCUUUCAUUACAGUUGCAGGAUGAAACAAGAGAAUGAAGAGUUAACUCCCCAGGAGAACAAGAAUUUCCCAAAGACAGAGCCAGGAACAUUGCUGUUGCCUGGCAGGAUCCUGAGCAUCACCAAAGGGCAAAGAAAAGGCCUGAUGCAGAGUUAGGACAGGCAGCCCUGGAAGGACAGUGGUGCCUGAAGGUGGCCAGGAGCCAACAGAAAACGUUGACAACAAACAAUCUCAGCCCCGCUGGUGGCAUAUCACCAUGAAAUGGAAUUGUUGCAAGUUAUCUCAAGCAAAAGGCCCCUACAGGGUUGACCAGUUUUUGAUAAAACAAUUGUUUCACUUCUCACCUGUGCAAGCUAGCCUGACCCUACUGCAGCCCACAGAAUCAUAGCAAUUAAAUAGAAGAAUUAUCAGUAAAAUAGAUCAAUUAUAGAUACUUUGUGGAUAAGAUUAAAUUAAUUUUAACUUUUUGGGGAACACAAGUCUAUGUUAGUCCAUCAUCAAGGCCAAAGAAAAAAACUAACUUAAAAUUACUUUAAAGACAUCAAUAAUUAAUUGACUUCAAGGUCAAAAUUAGACAAUUUGCUUGUAGAUCUAGUGAGUUUGGGGAGGAAAUAUCUUAUUUGCUGCUUUUUGUGUGAAUUGGGAGUGCAGUUUCUGCAACACAGAGAGUACCUGAAAAUACAUGUCUACCUACAUGAGCUGUGUGAGCACAGAGGUCAUCUGAAGUAAAAGCUAGCAAACCAUUCAUCACUUGUGUCGGAAAACACAGAUUAGAAAUACCCAGGCAUCUAUAUCAAUGUGCAAAAUUUGCCAGCAUUGCCAAAUAAUGGGACCUCAUUUCCUAAGCCCUGCUCCACUUUUUUGAGAUCUAGUCUCAGGCCAGUAAGCAGCCACCCAAGGAGAGGAAAUCUGAUCAGCACAAAUCUGAGCGAGUCACCUACCAGUGUGGUCACCAAGAUCCAAAUGAUUCUGUCAACCUUCGAGCCCCCUUCACCUGUGCACUGAGAGUAAAAACACUUCUUUGCCUUGUAAGUGGCUUAGAGGAAUGCACAUGGAAAGACUUAAAUGUUGUUAUAACAGCCUAACUGGUCUCCUUGCUUUCCUGUUUUAAGAAAGCUUCCUGAAUAGCUGCUGAAUGGGAUCACUCACAAUGUUUCUUUCAGGUAAGAUGGAUGCACUGGUGGAGAAAAGCAUGUAGAGAAACAAGCCUGCAACUGCAAUAGGAUUUUAUACCUUUUAUCUUUAUACCUUUUCUUUUAUUGUUAUAUCUUUAGCAGCAUAUUCCCUUUUCUAGAAGGAAAAAAAGACAACCCUCAUCACCUUUACAUUACACAGAACUAUAACCGAGUACAAAACAGUACUACUAAGCCUUGCCAGAAAGUCUGUGCCUAUAUUUAAAUUGCCUUAUUUAACAACAUGCAGCUUACUGCAAUGAGAUAUAAUCUUUCCAUGUGCUUUUCUGGCCCACUAAGAUUAGCAAGUAGCAUGAUCUGAUGCACGGCUGUUACACCCUCUGUCCCACCUGGGCUCUGUUAUUCAGUGUAAUACAGCAGUACUGUGAAUCUUUAACGUGACUGCUGAUAACACCAAUAUACAUCUCUUGCUCAAACCCAACACACACCUACACCUCUCUGGAGGGAAGUAGCAACCCAUUUAUAUACAUGAACCCUGUAGUGUUAAACUAGUUUUUUGUCUCCUUGCCCAGGUGUGCAAUGGAGUGACAGCCUCAAUCGUGUUUGAUGUUGAUGUAAAGCAGUGAGCUGUACAACCCCAGACCAAGGGACAGGAGUGGGCCCCAAGGGCAGCGAGGGGUGGAUUUGCUUGACCCUCUCACCAGAAGAUGGCUGGGCCCUACAUGGAUGCAGGGGACAUGAGGGCACCAAUAGGCUCUCAUUGCCCUGACCAGACUUAACAGGGGCCUCCACAUUGCCCCUGUAUUAACUAACAUAAAAGUGUAUUGUUUAUGGAUACACUGUACAGACACUGUGCCUGAUAGCAACUUGACUUCCCAGCUUCACCCUGCCUUGGCUCCACCACCUUGCCAAGCCCUGGCUGGCACUUUGGCCGACCCUGGUUGAUGCCAGUGCACUGCUUCUGCCCCUUGCUGAGGCAUAUUGGAGAGGUCAGGGUCCUGUCAGCCUCGCUGCCUCCCUGCUCUCCCUUCCUGAUGGGGUAGCCUUGACAGCAGAGGCUAGGCUUCAGUCCAAACCACCGUGGGAUUUCUCCUAGUGCUAAUUUCACAUCUCAUGGGAGAGAAAUAUAAUGAGAACUGGCUACGAAGCAGUCAUUUCCAUUUGUAAAUGGGAUAGCACAAAGGAAGAAACGAGAACAAAUUUCCAUAUGUACAGUCUCUGCUAAACAAUCAUCUCUGCAAAUCUCUCCACAGUGUGUGUGGUGCAUGCUGCCUUCUUUACGGUAUCAGCCACACAAUCAGAAUAAUUAAUUAAUCUAGGCACCAUCACAUCAGCUCAGAAGAUCCGAUACAACAGAGCUGGAUCCGACCUGAUUUCAAAGAUCACAGUUCAUGUGCAAUGGUGUAGCCACAGAGGUUAGUCAUAUUAAAUAUAAUUAAUAACUAAUAACUAAUAAUAACUAAUUAAUGCCGCAUCUCAAGUGGGCCCAGACCGUGAUCGAACAUCUUUACUUACAAUCACUACAUGUCAAAACAACACUUUCUCAAGUCCUCAUUUUUAAACUAAAACACCAAGGUGAAGAAGUUACCUGCCUGAUGAAGAGACCAUAGUGGCUACAGAGGCUGGCUGGGCAUGGAUGAAGCCAGCGUUGAAGAACCAUGGAGUGCAGGGUGUCCAUAAUUUACACUGAUUAGCUGGAGAAGAUCCAAAGAUUGACUUUUUGUUGUUGGGGUGGACGGGGAGGGACAGACUAUAUGGCUUGCCCUGCUGAAAUAGGCUAGUUUUGUUCUGAAGGCACUGUCACUCCUGAUCUUGACAAAGAGAUUAAUGACAAUUUCUUUGGCAAUAAUUAGCAUACCUAACAGAGAGGACAGAAGGUUCAUUUUCUUCCCUUCCCCUUUAUUUUUGGUUGGAUCUUCUACUGGUAAUACAUGAAUUAUUACUAAAAAUCAAUGCCUCAUGCUGAAAUAAAUAUUCUGAGUGACAUGGAA